rnacentral:lncRNA from 1 species
CCCUUUGGCCAGUUGGAGUCAGCUGUCCUGGGUCUGUCCCCUCCCAGCUCCUAUUCCACCCCAAGCCUGCCUGCUGGCAGGACAGUGUGAGAAGCUGAAAAGUCCUUGGCUUUGUGUAAGCACUGCUCUGCAACAACCAAAACUUCAGUGUGUUAUCAACAGUAUUCUGUAGUGGUUUUACAUGGUGUUAUAUAUGGAGUGGUAAUUCGUUGAUAUUAAUAAAGAAGGGGGAGAUUUGGGAAUGUGGCCAUGGGGGUUGGAAAGCCCCAUGGUUGAGAUAACAUUAGACUCUUAACGACGAGGCCAUCAGGAAUAUAAAAGAUUUUAGAGUGAACAAAGAAGGGUGAUUCAGGAGACUCCACGCAGUCUCUGGUUGCUUGUUCUCCAGCUGGUUCUCUUGUUCUCCAGCCGUUAAGGCAUGGAUGUUUCUGGGUGUUUGCUGUUGUUGUUACAUUCAAAGUUGUUUGACCAAUGAAAAGUUGUUUUGAAAAGAACUGCUGUGGAGAGAAGGGUAUAAGAGGGGAGCCUGCCCUUAAGAUAAAAAAGGCAACACGAUGAAGUUGCAUCAAUAAAGAAGCAGGAAAAAGAAGUGAAGAGGAACAGGCUAGCAGAACGGAGACCAGGACGGGAACAGGCACUUUGAUUGCCUCAUGAAGACAGGUUCGGCCAGACUCAGCAAACUGCUCAGAGAAGCUCGUACAGAAAGUUGCUGGGAAUAGGCGCACUGGAGCUGGAGAGAAGCUUGAGCUGAGAGAAGCGAAUCCGCGCACACAACUGCCUCUCGCUGCUACCUUCAUGCCAUUUGGAUCAUAGGUAGUAAGGAGAGACAUCACAGCAUGACGACUUCAGUCUUCUACCCAGCUGCUGGAAAAUACAGAGACAGAGAGAAUGGGCAGCAAACUGACCUGCUCCUGAGAUGUGGAAUGGAAUAG